AAAAUAGGUUAAAACUACCACAUAGGUGUACCCCUUAUUUCUGUCAAUUACUUAUAUCCGUCAAUUCCUUGCAUUACCAUGGGUGACACGUACUCACAGGUCUCAGUGACACAAGGUUAGUCCGAGCCGCAACUAGCAGGAUUCAGGGGACCAUAGUCAGCUUGAUCCGCAUUACUCGCUCCACACGAGUUAGGGUACUAUAAAGCUUGUGGGGCAACU
rnacentral:lncRNA from 1 species